UUCCGUUUAAACGGUCUACACUUUAGUCAUUUCCUUUUCCUUUUCUGAGAACUUUCAAAGUGCUGAGAGGACAGGGAAGCUGUAGUUAAGACAAGGACUCAUUUCCUCAGCAACCACCAUCUAGAGAGCACCUCCUGUGUGUCCAGAACCAUGCUGAGGCUGGGACAAGGAAACAGGUGACCACACUCCCAACUGUUGUUCACUUUCUGGCUCAGUGCUUAGUUGUGCUUGGCAACCAAUACUGCUAGAGGAAGAAGGAAGAAAGGAACCAAUUGAAUGGGAGGGAUUGAGGAUACAGGAGAACUCAUGCCAUCCUUGGCAGGAAGAUCACAAGAAGCAGGUGAAGAACCACAACACAGGUGGAGCUACAGAACUACUUGAAGGAAAGAAUAUCCGAUGGAAAAAAGUCUCUUCAACAAAUGGUGUUGGGAAAUCUAGACAGCAACAUGCAGCAAAAUAAAACUGGACCACCUUCUUACACCAUACACAAAAAUUAAUUCAAAAUGGAUGAAAGACCUAAAUGUGAGACAGGAAACCAUCAAAAUCCUAGAGAACACAGGCAGAAACCUCUUUGACCUCGGCCGUUGCAACUCUUGCUAGACACGUCGCCGGAGGCAAGGGAAAAAAAAAGCAAAAAUGAACUGUUGGAACUUCAUCAAGAUAAAAAGCUUCUACACAAAUAAAAUUUAAAAAAAUAAAAAGCUUCUACACAGUGAAGGAAACACUCAACAAAACUAAAAGGCAGCCUACGGAACGGGAGAAGAUACUUGCAGGCAAUAUAUCUGAUAAAGGGUUAGUAUCCAAAAUCUAUAAAGAACUUAUCAAACUCAACACCCAAAAAACAAAUAAUCCAG
rnacentral:lncRNA from 1 species